AAAACUUCUGAAUAAAUUUUCACCACUUUGCGCCUGGCAAGUUUACAAGUUGCCUGACCUUUAAUAGUCUGGUUUCUGGAGAGAUGAUGAGUCCUGUGGACCCAAGUGGAAGGUGAAUCCUGUCACUGUCACCCUCUGCUCUCAUAUGGAGCAUCCUUAUUCUGUAGAAAUGCACCUCGAUAAAGUACCCCAGAACAGCCUUUGAACAUACCAAAGUAGUUGCUCAAUCAAUACUUGCUGAAAUGAAGAUAAAAAGAGAAGAUGGACCAAACAAAACCGAAGCUAUGAAAUCCUGGAAUUUAGCAGAUUUCUGCAAAGUUGACAUUCAUCAGAUCUCAUCUGAGUCACCAAGUUGUCAGCUGCUCUGAGAAGUCCUGAAGUCUGUGGAAAAACAACCCCAAACAUUGGCACCAUCUGUAGAAGAGGCUUCACUCUUAAGAUUCUCUAUUUGUACUCAUUAAGUCAUUACCUGAUAAAGCCAGACUUGUUUCUUUUUAAAUAAUCUGCAAAAUAGGCUAUAAAAUGCAUGUUUGUAAACUCAUCACAGGCUGCAUUCCAAUUGACUGUUAGAGAGGUUUUUAAGAUCCCAUUCUUAUUGUAUAGUGACUAUUAAAUAGAAAGUUUUCUCCUAUUAGACAAUCUGCCAAAAACUGUCAUUUAAUCUAAUAAUGUAGCAGGAAUCUGAAUAUCAUUUAAGUGACUUAUUAUUUCUCCUCUUCACUCCAUCCCCAGUUUUCCAGAAUCUUACUUUUAUUUGAAAUACCUCAAUAUGUCAGGCAUAUGAGUUAAUCCACCUGGGAACUUUCUUAUAGAAAUAUCUGCUUUAUGGCAGAACUGAUCAUGACUAAAGUCCAUUUGGGAUCAUCAUAAUUACCAAAGUACUAAAAAAGACCUCCAUAUAAAACUGGAUCUAGAAGACAGCAUUUAUAGAAUUUCAAUUAAAUAUAUACAUUUAACCCAACAAAACUUUAUUAAAUAAACAUGUUAUAGAUGUGUUCGGAGAAGAAGAA
rnacentral:lncRNA from 1 species